CCUACGUGUGACAGCAGUGGGGGAUAUUGCACAAUGGGGGGAACCCUGAUGCAGCGACGCCGCGUGGGUGAAGAAGCGCCUCGGCGCGUAAAGCCCUGUCAGCAGGGAAGAAAAUGACGGUACCUGAAUAAGAAGCCCCGGCUAACUACGUGCCAGCAGCCGCGGUAUUACGUAGGGGGCAAGCGUUAUCCGGAUUUACUGGGUGUAAAGGGGGCGCAGACGGCGAUGCAAGCCAGGAGUGAAAGCCCGGGGCCCAACCCCGGGACUGCUCGUGGAACUGCGUGGCUGGAGUGCAGGAGGGGCAGGCGGAAUUCCUGGUGUAGCGGUGAAAUGCGUAGAUAUCAGGAGGAACACCGGUGGCGAAGGCGGCCGGCUGGACUGCAACUGACGUUGAGGCCCGAAAGCGUGGGGAGCAAACAGGAUUAGAUACCCGAGUAGUC
rnacentral:rRNA from 1 species